rnacentral:rRNA from 1 species
AGUACGGCGGAACACGAGAAAUUCCGUCGGAAUCCGCGGGGACCAUCCCGCAAGGCUAAAUACUCCCUAGUGACCGAUAGUGAACCAGUACCGUGAGGGAAAGGUGAAAAGCACCCCGGAAGGGGAGUGAAAUAGAUCCUGAAACCGUGUGCCUACAACAAGUCAAAGCUCGUUAAUGAGUGAUGGCGUGCCUUUUGUAGAAUGAACCGGCGAGUUACGAUUGCAUGCGAGGUUAAGUCGAAGAGACGGAGCCGCAGCGAAAGCGAGUCUGAAUAGGGCGAAUGAGUAUGUAGUCGUAGACCCGAAACCAUGUGAUCUACCCAUGUCCAGGUUGAAGGUGCGGUAAAACGCACUGGAGGACCGAACCCACGUACGUUGAAAAGUGCGGGGAUGAGGUGUGGGUAGCGGAGAAAUUCCAAACGAACUUGGAGAUAGCUGGUUCUCUCCGAAAUAGCUUUAGGGCUAGCCUCGGAAUUGAGAAUGAUGGAGGUAGAGCACUGUUUGGACUAGGGGCCCAUCUCGGGUUACCGAAUUCAGAUAAACUCCGAAUGCCAUUCAUUUAUAUCCGGGAGUCAGACUGCGAGUGAUAAGAUCCGUAGUCGAAAGGGAAACAGCCCAGACCACCAGCUAAGGUCCCAAAAUAUAUGUUAAGUGGAAAAGGAUGUGGGGUUGCACAGACAACUAGGAUGUUGGCUUAGAAGCAGCCACCAUUUAAAGAGUGCGUAAUAGCUCACUAGUCGAGUGACCCUGCGCCGAAAAUGUACCGGGGCUAAACAUAUUACCGAAGCUGUGGACUACACCAUUAGGUGUAGUGGUAGGAGAGCGUUCUAAGGGCGUUGAAGGUCGAUCGUGAGGACGGCUGGAGCGCUUAGAAGUGAGAAUGCCGGUAUGAGUAGCGAAAGACAGGUGAGAAUCCUGUCCACCGUAUGACUAAGGUUUCCUGGGGAAGGCUCGUCCGCCCAGGGUUAGUCGGGACCUAAGCCGAGGCCGAUAGGCGUAGGCGAUGGACAACAGGUUGAUAUUCCUGUACCAGUUGUUUUUGUUUGAGCAAUGGAGGGACGCAGUAGGCUAAGGAAUGCAUGCGAUUGGAAGUGCAUGUCCAAGCAAUGAGUCUUGAGUAGAGUUAAAUGCUUUACUCUUUAAGGACAAGUUGUGACGGGGAGCGAAAUAAUAGUAGCGAAGUUCCUGAU